rnacentral:rRNA from 1 species
GGGGAGGUAGUGACGACCAAUAACGAUACGGGACUCAUCCGAGGCCCCGUGAUCGGAAUGAGCACACUUUAAAUCCUUUAACGAGGAUCAAUUGGAGGGCAAGUCUGGUGCCAGCAGCCGCGGUAAUUCCAGCUCCAAUAGCGUAUAUUAAAGUUGCUGCGGUUAAAAAGCUCGUAGUCGAAAUUGUGUCCUCGGCCGCCGGUUCGUCGCUCGCGACGCUAACUGGCGCGCACGCUGGACGUCCAGCCGGUACAACGAACUCGCCUACGGGGUGCUCUUAACCGAGUGUCUAGGCGGGGGCCGGCAACGUUACUUUGAACAAAUUAAAGUGCUUAAAGCAGGCUAAAUUCCGCUCGCAUACACGCGCAUGGAAUAAAUGAAUAGGACCUCCGUUCUAUUUUGUUGGGUUUUUGUGGAACGACAGACGGAGGUAAUGAUCAAUGGGUGCGGAUGGGGGCAUUCGUAUUGCGACGUUAGAGGUGAAAUUCUUGGAUCGUCGCAAGACGGACUUAAGCGAAAGCAUUUGCCAAAAACGCUUUCAUCGAUCAAGAACGAAAGUUAGAGGUUCGAAGGCGAUCAGAUACCGCCCUAGUUCUAACCAUAAACGAUGCCAGCUAGCGAUCCGCCGAAGUUACUCCUAUGACUCGGCGGGCAGCUUCCGGGAAACCAAAGCUUUCGGGUUCCGGGGGAAGUAUGGUUGCAAAGCUGAAACUUAAAGGAAUUGACGGAAGGGCACCACCAGGAGUGGAGCCUGCGGCUUAAUUUGACUCAACACGGGAAACCUCACCAGGCCCGGACACCGGAAGGAUUGACAGAUUGAGAGCUCUUUCUUGAUUCGGUGGGUGGUGGUUCAUGGCCGU